rnacentral:lncRNA from 1 species
GGCUCUUGGGUUUAAUCAAAGGGCUGUGAACCAUGAGUGCCAAAGGACUGUGAGAAAGAAAAAUUACAGACUUGGAAAGAAAUUCCAACAGUGUACUAAGAAGACAAUGACUGAAGGGCUCUCUCAGAAUAAUGGCAAGCGUCCCAAAAUUACAGGAAACACAUAACAAUCAAAGAUGAAUCAGACAGUCUCUAAAUAUCUUAACAAGAAGAUAACCGUCAUACUGCUUACUCCCAGCUGUCUGAGUUUACCGACGGGUGCAUACUCUUCUGCCAGUUUUACAGAAGGGGAAAUCACGGGCUACCCCAGCCUUUACUGGAGGAUGCUGCAUACGUGCUCCCACAGGCUAUGCACUGCACAGCACCCAAGGACUCACUGA